UGACACCAGCACAGCAAAUCCGCCAGGAUCAAAGUGUACCAGUCGGCAGCAUGGCUACGAAAUGUGGAAAUUGUGGACCCGGCUACUCCACGCCUCUGGAGGCCAUGAAAGGACCCAGGGAAGAGAUCGUCUACCUGCCCUGCAUUUACCGAAACACGGGCACUGAGGCCCCAGAUUAUCUGGCCACUGUGGAUGUUGACCCCAAGUCUCCCCAGUAUUGCCAGGUCAUCCACCGGCUGCCCAUGCCCAACCUGAAGGACGAGCUGCAUCACUCAGGAUGGAACACCUGCAGCAGCUGCUUCGGUGAUAGCACCAAGUCGCGCACCAAGCUGGUGCUGCCCAGUCUCAUCUCCUCUCGCAUCUAUGUGGUGGAUGUGGGCUCUGAGCCCCGGGCCCCAAAGCUGCACAAGGUCAUUGAGCCCAAGGACAUCCAUGCCAAGUGCGAACUGGCCUUUCUCCACACCAGCCACUGCCUGGCCAGCGGGGAGGUGAUGAUCAGCUCCCUGGGAGACGUCAAGGGCAAUGGCAAAGAUGGCGUCUCACUCUGUUGCCCAGGCUGGAGUGCAGUGGCACGAUCUCAGCUCACUCCAACCUCCGCCUCACUGGUUCAAGAGAUUCUCCUGCCUCAGCCUCCCGAGUAGCUGGGAUUAC
rnacentral:sRNA from 1 species